GGAGCUCUGAUUAGAGACCCAUUAAGACGUAAACUGGUAUGGUUAGGUACAUUCAGUACUGCUGAGGAAGCUACAAUUGCAUAUGAUAAAGAAGCUAUUAGGUUAAGAGGUCCAAAUGCUGUAACAAAUUUUGUCUAUGCACAACCAGAACCAGAACCGCCAGUGGUUGCCGAAUGUCAUCUUUCCCGGGAAAGCAGCAGAGCUGUAUUUGCAAGCUCUAGGGAUUGCAAUGGUCAGGACAGUCAGAGUUAAAAGGAACAUUACUGAAAUCACCAUUGAGGAAAAUAUUACUCUUUCUGUGGACGCUCCUAAUGGAAACGGGAUUUUAGAAAAGGAAAUAUGUGGAGAAAAGAAGAAGAAAUCAUCAGAUCCAUUUCUGAACUCAGUUGCUAAUGGCGGUGGUGCUAAGAAAUAUCGUGGAGUUAAACAACAACAACGGGGUAAAUGGGGAGCUGUGAUUAAAGACAGGUGUAAAUCGAUAUGGUUAGGUACAUUCAAUACUGCUGAGGAAGCUGCAAUUGCAUAUGAUAGAGAAGCUAUGAGGUUAAAAGGUCCAAAUGCUGUAACAAAUUUUGUCUAUGCACAACCAGAACCAGAACCACCAGUGCUUGCCGAAUGUCAUCUUCCCCCGGAAAGCAGCAGAGUUGUAUUUGCAAGCUCUGGGGAUUGCAAUAGUCAGGGCAGUCAGGUUGCAGCUUAUAUUUCAAUGAUUUCACCAUCACAACCAGCUCUGAACCACAUUUUUGGACAAACUACAUGCACCCAAGAAGAAUUACUCAGCCAAGGCUUUAGUGGAUACUUGCCUCCCAGUUUCACUGCACUACAAACCAUAUGUUCGGCUGAAGCCGAAAAAGGUCACGUUUUUUUUAUAGGGCAAAAGCUACCAGUCCCUGAGGAAAUUGAUAUCAGUCUGAAAUCACGUGUUAAAAGGAACAUUACUGAAAUCACCAUUGAGGAAAAUAUUACUCUUUCUGCGAACGCUCCUAAUGGAAACAGAAUUUUAGAAAAGGAAAUAUGUGGAGAAAAGAAGAAGAAAUCAUCAGAUCCAUUUCUGAACUCAGUUGCUAAUGGCGGUGGUGCUAAGAAAUAUCGUGGAGUUAAACAACAACAACAGGGUAAAUGGGGAGCUGUGAUUAAAGACAGGUGUAAAUCGUUAUGGUUAGGUAUUUUCAAUAGUGCUGAGGAAGCUGCAAUUGCAUAUGAUAGAGAAGCUAUUAGGAUAAGAGGUCCAAAUGCUGUAACAAAUUUCUUCUAUGCACAACCAGAACCAGAACCACCAGUGGUUGCCGAAUUUCGUCUUCCCCAGGAAAGCAGCAGAGCUGUAUUUGCAAUCUCUGGGGAUUGCAAUGGUCAGGGCAGUCAGGCCUUAUUGGGACUUCUCUUACAUGGUUUAGCCUUUUACUUCUUUAGAUAUUGCAUUUUAAUUAGAACGCCACCGGAGAAUGAUACUAUGCAAGCAAGAUUACAUGCUCAGUGCAAGACUACUACCUAGGGACGGGACUCACUGGAACGUGCUGCUUGGUUCUCCAUUGAUUCUAGAAUGGUUUAUCAAUCCCUUGAUCUAGUGCUUCCACAUAGGUGCUUGCACUGUACGUGCAUUCUUGCUUUCAUUCUAGCACAGUCGAGUGUCAUUCUCUUUCUGUUGACAGAGUCAAGAAUUAUUUCUGUUUACAUAGUCAAGAAUGCUUGUCAUUUUGAAUAUUGCAUAUUAUGAAGUUUUUCAUGCCCGUGUGAAUUUAGCAGCAAGUGAUGGUCAGGCUCAUAUAUAGCUGCCCAUCCUCGCUUAUAGUAAUCUCUACUGUAUUUGUUCCUUUUAUUCUAAUCGACAUGCUCCGCUCUCAUGUCAGGAGAGUUUGGCUGAUAGUAAGGAGAUUGGGACGAGUUCAGAAACUAAUUUACAGUCAGAAAUUUCAAUUCCGUCUGAGUUUAACUAUUCAAAUGGACCUUGCUACAGAGUGGAUGAAGUGAAAGCUCCUACUGAGUCUUUCAUGGAAGUGACUUUUUCAUCGAAAUCGCUACCAGUUGCAUCAUAUACUUCUGAGUUGCCAGCAGAUCUGGCAUGCUCUCCAAAGAUGCCGCAAGUUGCAAAACCAUAUCAAACUACAAUCACUGA